rnacentral:lncRNA from 1 species
AUGGUUAAGCCUCCCACGUACGCUGAUCUUGGCAAAUCUGCCAGGGAUGUGUUCACCAAGGGCUGUGGAUUAGGCUUAAUAAAACUUGAUUUGAAAACAAAAUCUGAGAAGGGAUUAGAAUUUACAAACUAGGCUCAGCCAACACUGAGGCCACCAAAGUGACUGGCAGCCUGCGAACCAAGUACAGAUGGACCAGAUAUGGCCUGACAGUUAUGGAGAAAUGAAACACUGACCGCACACCAGGCACCGAGAUUGCGUGGAGGAUCAGCUUGCAUGUGGACUGAAGCUGACCUUUGAUUCAUCGCUUGUCACCUAAUGCUGGGGGGAAAAAAUGCUAAAAUCAAAACUGCUAUAGGCAGGAGCAUAUCAACCUGGGUUGCACCGUGGAUUGUUGAGGCUUCAAUCUGGGGUGCCCUGGUGCUGGGUUAUGAGGGCUGGCUGGAUGGCUACCGGAUGAAUUUUGAGACCACAGAGUUUUAAGAGAAGCAGAGGGACUUUACUCUUGGCUACAAGAUUGAUGAAUUCCAGCUUCACACUUAUGUGAAUGACGGGGCAGAGUUUGGCACCUUUGUUUCCCAGAGGUGAAUAAGAAGUUGGACACUGCUGUUAAGCUUGCCUGGAUAUCAGGAAACAGUAACACUCACUUCAUCAGGAAACAAUAACACUCACUACAGCAGGCAAGUAUCAGAUGGACCCUGAUGCCUGCUUCUUGGCUAAAGUGUACAACCCUAGCCUGAUAGGUUUAGGGUACACUCAGACCGUAAAGCCAAGUAUCAAGCUGAUGCUGUCAGCUCAGCUGGAUGGCAAGAACGUCGAUGCUGGUGGCCAUGAGCUUGGUCUAGGAUUAGAAUUUCAAGCA